rnacentral:rRNA from 1 species
UACGGGGGGGGCAAGCGUUGUUCGGAAUUACUGGGCGUAAAGGGCUCGUAGGUGGCCAACUAAGUCAGACGUGAAAUCCCUCAGCUUAACUGGGGAACUGCGUCUGAUACUGGAUGGCUUGAGUUUGGGAGAGGGACGCGGAAUUCCAGGUGUAGCGGUGAAAUGCGUAGAUAUCUGGAGGAACACCCGUGGCGAAGGCGGCUCUCUGGUACGUGACUGACGCUGAGACGCGAAAGCGUGGGGAGCGAACAGG